CUGGAGAGACUUUUUUUGUUGAUUUAACAAAGAAAUCACGGCAGGAAAACUUCCAGAUAGAUUUUCUUGGGGGGGCUUAGCCGCAGGUGGAAUUUUAUUUACCCCCCCCCCCUGGUUUCCUCAUAAUGGAUGGAAUUAAAACGGGCAGGCUGUGAUUGGGACUGAGCUUCUUUUCCUAUCUGAACGCACUGCUCAGACUCGGCCUUACCAUGUCCUGGUUGUUGGCCAUGUGGAUUAGCCUCGGCUUCCUGCUGCUGUGCCAGGCCACGCUCUAUCAGACCAUCCAGCAACACCAUGUGGCCCGACCUGGUCGCACUAACAUCCUCACUCUGGAGGGGGGGACGUGUGAGGUGAUUGCUGCUCACAGAUGCUGCAACAAGAACCGCAUUGAGGAGCGCUCACAGACAGUCAAAUGUUCCUGUUUGCCUGGGAAAGUGGCUGGGACGACACGCAACAAACCCUCCUGUGUGGAUGCGUCCAUUGUAAUUGGGAAGUGGUGGUGUGAGAUGGAACCGUGUCUGGAAGGAGAGGAGUGCAAGACUCUGCCUGACAACUCUGGAUGGAUGUGCUCAUCUGGGAACAAGAUCAAGACCACAAGGGUGAGAGCACACACAUGCUGCAUUGCGAACAUGCAUAAAUCUGUUCCCCUAAAACACAGCGUUGUGUAUCCAGAAGGUGUAAAAAUUCUUGCUGUGUUUGCAGUAGUUUCAGGUCUUUCAAUCCUGACACGCAAAUCCACAGAAAAUGAAUGCUGAACAUAAAAUUCAAACAAUACAUGCCAACAGAGGGUUUGUCUGCAUCCAUUGCUCCCCCAAGACCUUAACUGCUGAUAAAUCAUAUUUAAAUAUGUCCUCCAUUGCUACCUGCUUCUAUAGAAAUGUUUGCACUCUGCAGUUUAUUCUGACAUUGGUCUACACCCUCUGUAUAGCAGCGUUGGUUCUUUAGUUCUCUGAGGAACUGUUGCAUUUAAAAGUACAGCUAAAUGAGUGUUUAAAAAGUAAGAGGUCUCUACCUUAGGCCAAAUUCCUCCCAGAGAUAAAGAUAGGAAUAAUAAUUAAUCUUAUUGAUCACACAUUUGAGAAAUUUACAUCUGCAUUUAACCCAUCCCCUUGGCAGAGCAGUGGGCUGCCAUUGUUGGGCGCCUGGGGAGCAGUGUUGGUUUAAGGGUCUUGCUCAGAGACCCCAGAGUGCCAGUCUGUGGGAGUGGGGAUCAAACUCAGAACCUCAGGAUUCCAAGCUCAAUGCCCUAACCUCUAGGCCACACUCCCCAUAAAACCUAGUUUGCUGCUCUACUGCCAUAAGCUGUCUAAACUGGUUUCCAAUAUAACACUUCAUAUAAAUAACAGAGAAAGGAAUUAAAUCUUCCAAUUUGUCGGAAGUCGUGAGCUGAUUUGUAAUCAUUAACUGGUUCUCCUAACUUUAUUUUAGUGCUUAGUGACAAUGACUUUCAAUAAAAUUGGGAACUAGUAGAAGGGCAGUGUUGGUUAGACAGCAUUUGGCUUCCCAAGGUUGUUCUAUAGAUUUGUUUGUCAUCAUUUAGAGGUAAAACCUGAGCAGGGUCUCUGGCAGUCACCACUGGCUUAGGUUUUCAGAAUGGAGUUGAUUGAAUGGGGAUCCUUUCAACCGUUCAAGGUAAGGUUCAGCACACAGAUCUCUAAAGAAUGCAUCUCUAAUUUUCAGUUCAGUCCUUUGCACAAUCUGAAGUGAAAAUAAAAUGUCAAAAGACUCAUUUUUUUCCAGUUAGAUAAUUUAAUAAUUUAAAGUUCUGCACAUAAAGGGAAAACAAAGCGACACAUUAUAAUGGCUUUGGCCUAAAAUCUCUGAAGAGGACCAAUAAAAGUCAGGCCUGAGGCUGGUUUUCAACCCGAUACACACAUGUCCUUUUCUUUCUUGACCCUCUCUUUGCAGAACACCCAGCCAUACUCCCCUUUUUAGCUUCUGGAAGCAAAAUGCAGAGGAUGCGUCAACAGAAAUUGAGCUGCAUUCUUGCUUCUGUAAAGAUUCAUCCCAGGACCUAACAGAGAGCUCCUGGUUACAGAACUGCACACCAGGCUCUCACCUCUUUCUACAUUUUUUCCCUCCGGUUCAAUUGACUAAAACUAUUACAUCCACGGCUACCACUGGCUUACCUGGGACCGCUGAAAGGAUAUCCAUCCAGAUAAAACAGCUUUGCUCACUCGGUGCCAAGGAUUUGAAACCGUACUAAUCCCCUGUUUGAUCAAUGAGCCCCACGUCGGGGACUAUACUCUUCGCCAUGACGGUGGCCGGUUUCCAAUCUACGCUCAUUCUGUUUCCUCACCCUCUCUUUACCUGAAAGUCUGUUACAUCUUAGCGGAGCUCAUUUAGAGGUUGUUAAAAUAUUUGAAGACAAUCUCUUGGCCUGCCUGAAGGUGAAACACAUUGAGAGGCACACACAGAACUGAACAUGGAAUUCACACAACUGGAGGCAGAGUAGAUACAAAUGACCCUCAUUUUCGAAUAUUUCUGUGCAGAAAUCAUUGUUGUUACUCUCUGAUGGAGACGGAUGCCAUUUCCGGUAAUGCAGGAUAGUCAAAACUUAAACUGACUGGACUAAGCUGCAUACAAUGAGAUGAUAAGAACUUUUCUGGUCUGACUUUAUGACCCAAGCUUCACCCUCAGUAAGGGACACCUUGAAUUUUUUUUGUUGGGCAUGCCCAAUGUGGAUUCAUGAGCACUGCAUUUAUUUUAUGUAAGAUCAUUUGUGUAAAUAAACAUAAAUACAUAACUUUAAGAUAACAGAUCAUAGAGGCUGAUAUAUGUAUUCUUCAGAUUAAAGCACCCAUUGUGAACAUCAAUCAGUUUCUUAACCUGUUCAGAGGCUGAAGAACUGCUUUACAAUUUAAGCUUAUUUUGGAAAAAGGCUGAAAAUGAAUUGUAGGUCCAGGUAACUUUUUGUCAUGCUUUUUGGUUAGCACCGACAAUGCUUGUAGUUUCUGUGAAGAUGAGGAAAAACAAUGUAUAGAGUUGCCUCACGUACGAAGGCAGAGGUGACACUUUCAACCUUUUGGCCCAGAUGCAGGAGGGACUUGGAGCAGCUGUGGAUAAAACAUAAGCAUGAUUCUAAGAAAGAGGGGUCAUGUAGAUCUUUCUCACACACAGAAGAGAGGGAAUUUGCUCACACUGACAGAGAGAAAGUAUUAGUCCCAAUGGAGAAAAAUAGCUAUCCCCAGUAGAUAUAAGACAGCCUUAUGAGAAAUAAAAAUUGUUUUGUAUACUGAAA